CUUUCCCUUGUUGGAGACAGCCUCUCCAUUUUGCAACACAAGUAGCUGUCGGCCUUUAAACCUUAAAAAGUAUUGGGUGGCUGAUUCAUUUCUGGUUUUUGAGUCGGAAUACGCUUUGUAUCUGCUAUAUAUAACUGGACGAGGUUUUGGCGACACAUGCGGAUAACGAGAGAGGUUGAAUUGAGUUUUUAUAAAUUUUGAAUAUUACACUAUAUAAAAGAAUAAAAUCCUUUGAAUUGAUUAUGGUAGCCAUGACCUUUUCUUUAUGUAGAGAACCAAAAAUGGUGGGUUGGAUAGAUUUUUAUGGUUUGGCAUGAGAAAGGUGCUAUCAAUCUUAUCCAGAUUCUUAUUCUUCAACAAUCAAACAUUCAACAGUGGCGAUUGUCCGCACUUUUGCUUUUGAGAGGGUACUGCUGAAGUGGGAUAUUGACCGUUGGAUGUAUCUAAUCGAAGGAGAUGAUCAAAUAGCCUCGUGGUGCUUCGAGUCCACCAUUGAAAUGUUCCCCAAUUGUCUUUCUGUGGUUUCAACCAUUGAGUUACUUCCUCAGCAAUCCCACAUGAAAACCCGAACUCGGAUGUGAUUUUACCCAUUCUGUGAUUAUCGUUGGGUAACUCUUCAGUGCUGUUCUCCGUUCUCCAGCAGGUUGCCGGCGGUGUAUUGUUCGUCUCCGUAGCGCAAAUCAAUUCGUCGCUGACAAAGAGGGAUUGGAGGAGGACGAUAUCGUUAUUGUAGAGGCGUUUACUGGGUAAAGACAACAGAGAAGGCCGUAACCGCCGGACCAGAGUGCGCAAAAGCUGGUUCGCCACCAGCGACGGCGGAGUAAGAGAUGUUAGGGGAAAUUGGGAUGACAGCAGGGGAGGAGGAGAAACCACCACCGGCGCGGUAGCAGAUAAUACGCUGAUUCGGCUCCGUAAAAUGAUAGUUUUUCAUUUUACUUAAAUGACGUGAAAAAUCAAAUUUAGAAAUAAUUUCAUCUCCGAUUCUCUAGCUUUUAAUUUUAAGGAAAAUAAUAAAAAUAAAUGCUUAAAUUAUAUAUUUAAGUGCUUAAAAUAAAAAAUUUGAAAGUUAAAUUAUAAUUUCUUAAA